rnacentral:rRNA from 1 species
UACGUAGGGGGCAAGCGUUGUCCGGAUUUAUUGGGCGUAAAGAGCUCGUAGGCGGUUCGGUAAGUCAGGUGUGAAAUCUCCACGCUCAACGUGGAGGCGCCACCUGAAACUGCCGUGACUCGAGUCCGGUAGGGGAGUGUGGAAUUCCCGGUGUAGCGGUGAAAUGCGCAGAUAUCGGGAGGAACACCGGUGGCGAAGGCGGAUCUCUGGGCCUUACCUGACGCUGGAGAGACGAAAGCUGGGGAGCAAACAGGA